UACGUAGGGGGCGAGCGUUAUCCGGAUUCACUGGGUGUAAAGGGGGCGUAGACGGCCAUGCAAGCCAGGGGUGAAAGCCCGGGGCCCAACCCCGGGACUGCCCUUGGAACUGCAUGGCUGGAGUGCGGGAGGGGCAGGCGGAAUUCCUGGUGUAGCGGUGAAAUGCGUAGAUAUCAGGAGGAACACCGGCGGCGAAGGCGGCCUGCUGGACCGCGACUGACGUUGAGGCUCGAAAGCGUGGGGAGCGAACAGG
rnacentral:rRNA from 1 species